rnacentral:rRNA from 1 species
UCCUGGCUCAGGAUGAACGCUAGCUACAGGCUUAACACAUGCAAGUCGAGGGGCAGCAUCAUCAAAGCUUGCUUUGAUGGAUGGCGACCGGCGCACGGGUGAGUAACACGUAUCCAACCUGCCGACAACACUGGGAUAGCCUUUCGAAAGAAAGAUUAAUACCGGAUGGCAUAGUUUUCCCGCAUGGGGUGACUAUUAAAGAAUUUCGGUUGUCGAUGGGGAUGCGUUCCAUUAGGCAGUUGGCGGGGUAACGGCCCACCAAACCUACGAUGGAUAGGGGUUCUGAGAGGAAGGUCCCCCACAUUGGAACUGAGACACGGUCCAAACUCCUACGGGAGGCAGCAGUGAGGAAUAUUGGUCAAUGGACGAGAGUCUGAACCAGCCAAGUAGCGUGAAGGAUGACUGCCCUAUGGGUUGUAAACUUCUUUUAUACGGGAAUAAAGUGAGCCACGUGUGGCUUUUUGUAUGUACCGUAUGAAUAAGGAUCGGCUAACUCCGUGCCAGCAGCCGCGGUAAUACGGAGGAUCCGAGCGUUAUCCGGAUUUAUUGGGUUUAAAGGGAGCGUAGGCGGGUUGUUAAGUCAGUUGUGAAAGUUUGCGGCUCAACCGUAAAAUUGCAAUUGAUACUGGCAGUCUUGAGUACAGUUGAGGUAGGCGGAAUUCGUGGUGUAGCGGUGAAAUGCUUAGAUAUCACGAAGAACUCCGAUUGCGAAGGCAGCCUGCUAAGCUGCAACUGACAUUGAGGCUCGAAAGUGUGGGUAUCAAACAGGAUUAGAUACCCUGGUAGUCCACACGGUAAACGAUGAAUACUCGCUGUUUGCGAUAUACUGCAAGCGGCCAAGCGAAAGCGUUAAGUAUUCCACCUGGGGAGUACGCCGGCAACGGUGAAACUCAAAGGAAUUGACGGGGGCCCGCACAAGCGGAGGAACAUGUGGUUUAAUUCGAUGAUACGCGAGGAACCUUACCCGGGCUUAAAUUGCAACUGACGGAACCGGAAACGGUUCUUUCUUCGGACAGUUGUGAAGGUGCUGCAUGGUUGUCGUCAGCUCGUGCCGUGAGGUGUCGGCUUAAGUGCCAUAACGAGCGCAACCCUUAUCGAUAGUUACUAGCAGGUCAUGCUGAGGACUCUAUCGAGACUGCCGUUGACAAAACGGAGGAAGGCGGGGACGACGUCAAAUCAUCAUGCCCCUUAUGUCCUGGGCUACACACGUAAUACAAUGGUGGUUAACAGAGGGAAGCAAGACUGCGAAGUGGAGCAAAUCCCUAAAAGCCAUCUCAGUUCGGAUUGCAGGCUGCAACUCGCCUGCAUGAAGCUGGAAUUGCUAGUAAUCGCGGAUCAGCAUGCCGCGGUGAAUACGUUCCCGGGCCUUG